GUGUGUUGUAUUUUAACUAGGUGUGUUCUUCCGACCUCUUAAAUCCUCCAUAUUUUUGUUCAUCAUAGCACCUUUCCUAGCCUUCACACUAGCCCUAACCAUGUGAAUCUCCCUAUCCAUGCCGUACCCACUUAUUAACAUAAACCUAGGAGUACUAUUUAUAUUGGCCAUAUCAAGCCUUGCCGUCUACUCCAUCCUAUGAUCAGGAUGAGCCUCAAAUUCCAAAUAUGCCCUAAUUGGGGCCUUGCGAGCCAUAGCCCAAACAAUCUCAUAUGAAGUCACACUA